rnacentral:SRP_RNA from 2 species
CCGUGCUAGAUGGGGAGUUAGCGGUGCCUUGUAACCUGCAAUCCGCUAUAGCAGGAUUGAAUUCCCCAGAGAGGCUAUAAUGAAUAUGGUCUGCCCCAUGCAAGUGGUGUUGAUAGUCGGGUCCCACGCAACGGAACCCAUGAACCUCGUCAGGUCCGGAAGGAAGCAGCGAUAAGUGGUCACUUCCGUGUGCCGUGGAUCUAUCUGGCUUGAGCUAACUACAUGGGUAACGCAUACGAGUUAUAGUCGAACUGGGGUGCACGG